AGAGCAGGCUGUAGGGUUGGGGAGGAGGCAAAGUGGUGGGCAGGGGAACGUGGUACUUUUUUAGCCGCUCAUCCAGCUGCUGCUUGUCAUUCUCCAGGUCCAUGAUGCUCUCCUGGGUCAGCUUCAGGUCACCCUCCAGCUUCCUCUUGGCUCGCUCCAGGUCCAUGCGCACCUUCUUCUCUUGCUCCAGGGAUCCUUCCAGCUGGUGGAGAGAAGGCCCAGCCAUGCCCCAUGAGUGCAGGCCCUUGGAGGACAACCAGCCUACCUUGCCUGGAUUCUGGUCCUUUUUGCUGCGAUCACCGAUGGCGGCGAUGACAGCGAAGUAUUGGAUGACCCGCUUGGUGUUGACCGUCUUCCCAGCCCCGGAUUCUCCGCUGUCAGGAGAGUCGGGCUCAUUAGGCAGAGAACAACACGCUCGAGUGAGGAGAGAAUGUAUGUCCUAUCUGAGAGUAGGACCCCUGAGCAGGAAGCUGCUGGAUAAUAUGCACCCAAAACACACAGCUGUCUUCAGACAUUCAUAGGGUCAGGGGUAACAGCCAGGCAGAAUACCUCAAGGAGGCACUGGGUUUGGGCAGGUUGAGCUCAUGCUUGAUGGGGCAAGGUCAAUGGAAGGAGAUGGGUCUCAGGUAUUUUAGAAAAGAAUGGGUGGGGCUUAAAGAAUGGGGAAAGUUCCUGAAGGAAAAUGAAGAGGUGAAGAAGACAUGGUGGCAAUGGGCUUAUGGGUAAAUGGAACGUUAGAGUAGGCAAAGGAGAUGAGAGAGGAAAAAUAGGGGAGGGAUGGGGAGGAGAAAAGAGGGAAAAGCAAAGAGAAGGGUCAGAGUAAAGAUCAGGGAAGAAAGGGGAGAUGGGCGUGAUGGCAGAGGGGAAAAGGAAGGACUGUAGUGCUCUGGGUCCCUGUUGGGGCUGGGGUUAGGGAUUCUGAAAAGGAACAGUGCAGGAACUAUACUCACGUGAUGAGGAUGGACUGGUUCUCCCGAUCUAGAAAAGAGGACAGGCAACAGGGUGAGGGCUGAGGGCCCAGCUGGGUGUUGGGUUGAGGGCACAGGUCAGGUGCAGGGCUCACCUGUCAGCAUGUACUGAUAAGCGUUGUCAGAGAUGGAGAAGAUGUGGGGUGGGGCCUCGCUUCUCUUCUUGCCCCGGUAGGCAGCCACCACCUCAGCAUUGUACACUGGCAACCACUUGUAGGGGUUGACAGUGACGCAGAAGAGGCCUGAGUAGGUCUGGUAAUAGAAAAGUGGGUUCCAGUGAUGAAGUUGGGCGAGGUGGAGAUUUUCAGAGUUAGAGAAAGACCCCAGGGGAGGAGAAAGGGAAAUGAAAACCUCUAAAUGGGUUCUUGUGAGUCAUGCCAGCUCCCAGGGUAUUUGAAUGGAGCAAGGAUUUAGGGUCUAAAUAGAUAGAGUGCCACACUGCCUGGGCACCAGAAGCAGACAUUUUGACUCAGGAGUGGAAACCCUUGGGCCAGGAUGGUUCCAAUGGAAAGUCUGGUGCCUCCCUCCACUCACGUAGAUCAUCCAGGAGGAGUAGCGCUCCUUGAGGUUGUACAGCACCGCGGGCUCGUGCAGGAAGGUCAGCAUGGCCAUGUCCUCAAUCUUGUCGAAUUUGGGAGGGUUCUGCUGCAUCACCUGGUCCUCCUUCACAGUCACUGUCUGCACAUCCCCCACAGACCAUUCUGUCAGCCUGUUUCCCCUUCUCCUCCCUCAUCAGGGAGAGGAGGAGGGCAAGUUACAGGACCCUGGUGUCCAGCAGGGAAGGAACCAGGAUCUCCCUGAGAGCAUAGAUUGGAUUCUGGGAAUGAGAACGGUUCUUUAAGGGUUUGGAUCUGUACCCAAAGGGAAGGAGACCCAGUCUGGCAUGGUGGCAUACGUCUAUAAUCCCAGAGGUGCGCCCACCCCAGGUAGACACCCACCUUGCCAUUCUCAGUCUCGGCAGUGACUUUGCCACCUUCUCGAGACACAAUCUUGGCCUUGACAAACUCCUCUUUGUCAUCAGGCACAAAGACAUCCUUCUUGAGGUCAAAGGGCCUGGUUUGGGCUUCCAGCCGCUCCUUCUCUGACUUGCGCAGGAAGGGGGCGGCAGCCCCAAACGCAGCCAUCUCCGCAUCCACCAUGGCUGUGCCUAGAACGAACAGGAGUAGCUGACUUUCCUCCCAUUGCUCUCUCCCUCCAGUGGGGGCCCCCAAACCUAGCACAUACUCAAGGGGAGUUAUCAGUGAGUCCCACAUUUUUAACCAGAGAGCAGCAUAGCAAACCUACCACAGUAGAAAGGACAACUAGCUUUCGUUCAGACUGGGCUGUCUGAGAGCAGGAAUCUGACUAUAUCCAUCUUUGACCCUCACCAAUCUCUGCCCUCCCCUCAAAGUAACAGGUAAGCUGAUUUUGGUAGCCAAGAUGUCCUCCCAAAGGCAGGGCAGAAAUGGGAGUUCCAUAGGUUGGCUUUGGGACUGUCAUGCCCAAUCUCCCCAGAUACCCUGCACUCUGUCUUCAGUUUUUCUUACAUUGGUUCCUCAAAUGUGUCUAGAGAUGAGGAAAGGGGCCCAGGCCUACAGGGGACCUGGAGAGUGACCCAACCUGCCUAGCACCACCUCCCCUCUUCUCCCUGACUCUGUCCUUUGGCACCCACCCUCCCCUGGAACUGAAAACAAUCUGGAAGUGGUGGCCAGUUUCUCGGGUCCCAUGUUCUUUCUUCCUUUCCAAAUACUGUCCCCUCUUCCCCAAGGACUAGUUCUAACAGUUUCCUGGUGUUAAUGCAACACUUGGGCCCCAAUCCUCCCACUCUUGUGUAUAUCCAGAGAGGGAAACUUUUUUUGAGUCACCUGAAAGACAACAGUGGUCACAUUCAUUCAGUGCUUUCCACUAAAAACACUUCUACGCAUGUUCACUUACUCAGUCCUCACCCCACUGGAGAGAUAAGGGAAUCAGGUAUGAGUAGCUUGCUUGUCCAAAAACACAAAACAAUAAGUGAUAGAGCCAAGUCUUGAACCCGAGCCUCAUGACUCCAAAGCCAGUGCUUUUCGAUCCUGUCCCCAUUUUGCCAGACUUUGUGGGCAUUUUUAGAAAUAAGACACCGUGAGUGUCCUCACACAGACCAUUCAUCACACAGCCCAACACUGCCAUUGCCACAUGCCCUCUGAUGAGCACACAUGCUUAUCCACACAUGUCACACAAAGGCAGGCUUCCUUUCUAUACCUUAGGACCCCCCCACAGUGUCCCACAUGUGCCUCAACAACAGAUGUGCACAUAGACAUAUGUGUACAGAAUAAAUAGGCUUGCGUGGCUGUGUGACCACACCAUGUGCCUGUGAUCUCCUUCUGCAGGGUUACACACUGCAAUAGUCAUGACUCCUGUCACAGAGCAAGGCCUCCAUGUGUAUGGACACGGGAAGUUAUAUGUCCCAGAACUCACUGAACUAGCUUCCUAUAUAAUCAUUCUCUGCCAUCUUUCACUCCUCCCCCAAAUGGACCUGCUUGUCCUCUGACAUGAUGAUGAACACAUCUCCCACUUAUCCAUAUAUUAGAUAGUGAAGUACACACCCUCCCUUACAUUCAAAACAUGUGCGCUGGUACACACGUGUGCGCACACACACACAUAGACACACACGCUCUUCUUAUGCAUUCUGGUCCUAUAUGCUCAGAUACAGAUAUCUUCCCCUGGGAAUGCAUGAGCCCCCUCAUGCCCAUGGCACAAACAUACAUGUUUAGAUCUGCACAUGUGUGCUCAAUGACCAGACCUGGUACUCUGCAUACAGCCCUACAAGAAGCUUGCUGUUCCUAGGGGAACCGCUUCUUAAACCUGGAGCCCCCUUAUCCCAGGGGAAGGCCUCCAGCUCCCAUUCCUACCUGAGAGCAGCAAGGAAACACACAGAGAGCAGGAGAGAGCUGAGAGUCAGACCUGGUCUCAGGGGCUGUAUAUAUGGGGCAGCAGGGUGCCCCCACCCCCACCUGCACCCAGUCCCUAGCCGGAUUUAGAAAGGGCUGUUGUCACUAAAAGCAUUUCCCCCGCCCUGCCCCCCCCUGCCCAAACAGUGCUCCCCCUCCCCCUCUAGCUAGGAAACAAUUGGAAGUGGUCGUCAUUGUUAUGGCAUGGAGUGUGCAGGGUCUGAGUUCCAGGGGGCGGGGUGGCUCAAAGUGCAGCAAAAAUAUCUCCCAGGCCAGACCUCACAUUCCCCAGCUGGCUAGAGAGCAAAUUGACCACGACCACCAUGACCUCUGGCAGACUGGGCGCUGGCUGUCCUGUACAGUGCACUCCUGGCCCCUUUCACUCUGCCCCUGCGACCCCUUACCCCCCCCCCCCCCCACACACACACACACUGGCCUGGCCCUAUUUCCACAGUGUCUUCCCUGUUUCCCUGCCCUGGGCCUGUAUCCAACUGUGAGAUGGGAAGAGGCUGAGUUUCAGCAGCAGAAAGGGAUAGGGCAGAGUUGGGGGCAUGGCCCCAAGGAGGGAGCUGACCUGGGGCAACUGGAAGGAAGUGUCCUUGUCAGGUGGUAGGAACAAUGAAUGACCAGGAGCUUAGACAUGGGGACCCUGGCUCAGGCACUGAUUUCUUUGGACUAGCAGUCAAUGUGUUGAGGUCACUGAGCCUCAGAGCCGGAUAAGUCUUUAGUGAUCCAUCCAAGUUCUUCAUUUUAGAGGGAGGGGAAGUGUCUUUUCUAAGGUUGUACAUAAUGAGAACAGCAAGAUUUCAAGGUGGGAGACCUCAGCAGACAGGGGACAGAGCCUGGAAAGGGAGACUGGGAUUCCAAGGAGGUAAGGACCCACUGUGUCAGAAGGCAGGACCCAGUGGCCUGAUUGUCCCCAUUGGGAGUCCUUUCCUGACUCAUUUUACUCAUCUACCCUGCAGGUAUUAGAUGUGCUAGCCCAGGGCCCGACCCUCUUAAGGCUAUGGAUAAUAUGGCUGCUCAGAGUGAGGAGACCCCUACCAAUACUGCUGUUGCCUGACCCACUGAGCCUCCACUGAGGUGACCUCUGUCCAGACUUGGUUGUGAUCAGUCUUCUGGCAAGUGGGGAGAGAGACAGGAUAGGAAAAACCUGCCCUGCUCCUGGAGGCCCAGGGAGCAGCCACAAGGGAGGAGAGGAAAGGAACCGCUGGGUGUCUGCGUGCAAGCCUCACUGCUCCGUGUCCAGGCAACGGCUGCGUGGUUUGGUUUGAAAUCCUCCCUUCUUCCCAAGCACAGCUCUCAGCGCAUGCGGAUUAAUUCAUCUGAUUAACUGUCAGCUUGGAGGAGAGAGGCAGGCCUGGGGGAUGGGGUGCCCAGCAGGUUUAGAGGGCUCUGGUCCAUUGAUGUUUCCAUGUUACUCUUCUUCACUCUUCAAUGCAAAGUAGAACUCAACUCCCUAACUCUGUGUUCUCUGACUCAUAUUGGAGGGUUCAAUGUCCUUAAGGACCCCCACUCAGUCUCUGACUCCUCUAGUACCUGCCCUUGGUGCCCUUGGACAAUCCAUCAUGAUCGUCCUCCUUCUUCUUUGCUCCUUUAUGAAGACAGAUUCCUUUAUUUAACAAGUAUUUAUUGAGUAUCUACUAUGUGCUUGGUUUGUUCUAGUCCUUGAGAAUAAAAC